AGCACCUGCACACCACCGCGCACCCGCUACACUCUGCUGCUAGGGGCGCUACCUCCGUGUGGGCGGGCAGCACCUCUUACAACAACAAAUUCAAUUCGCUAUCCACUAAUGACAGCGUUGAUAGUGAACAAACUUCUCAUUUAAAAUUUCAAAGGUGCGGGCGCAGACAACUCACAGGAAGUUGGUGAGCAGCAGGUCGGCGAUGCCCAGCUGUCCGUCGGCGUCGGUGAGCCGCCAGCGCGCGCUCUUGAAGCAGAUCUCGUUGUAGCGGUGCGGCGCCGCGCCCGCCGGCACCUCGCGCCGCAGCUCCCGCGCCGCGCGCACCAUCGCCUCCAGCUCCUCGCCCAGCGACCACACGCACUCCUUGCACUCGUUCACCUGCAGCAACCCGCCGCGUGCCUACUCAUCGCGUAUCCUAUAGCUCAGAUGGGUGGACGGUCAACCUCAAAUUGACCACCACAUUUGAUCCACCGCAAAUUGAAAAGCUGAAUUCGGGACAAAACAGCAGCAGAGUUCAUCCAUAUUAUCUGGAACCGCUGCGUUCAUCGACAGUGCGUUUCCAGAGGUAUUUUUUGCCACGUACCAUCCGACUAUGGAAUGAGCUCCCCUCCACGGUGUUUCCCGAGCGCUAUGACAUGUCCUUCUUUAAAAGAGGCUCGUGGAGAGUAUUUAGCGGUAGGCAGUGGCUUGGCUCUGCCCGUAGCAUUGCUGAAAUCCAUGGGCGACGGUAACCACUCACCAUAAGGUUGGCCGUAUGCUCGUAUGCCUACAAGGGCAAUAAAAAAAAACCACAGUAAGCUUUUACGACCGAUCGAUAUUUUGAAAUCCACGAUGCCUACAGACCGAAGUAUCCGGUGUAAACGUAUCAAGCGACUGACUGUGCCGGGCUUCGAACUCGGCAGGGAGGUGCACAUUUUUGUAAUGAGCUUCGUACUCAACGUACGGGAGAAGUGAUAUCGUGGUACAAAAAAGAUAUCCACAAAAUGUAUGCAUUUACGUAAUUCCAGGUGAUCACUUCGACAACCAAUUAACACCAGGUGCACUAUGAACACAAACAGCAAAUGAACAUGACCAGUUUGAAACCCUCAUCCACCAGUAGACUAUACAGGAGACCACGGGAAACUGCUGGAAACACUAUUUACCAAUCCUUAAACGUCUUCUAUAGUUUUGUACAAAUGAAACAAAACUGUUCCGUACCUGAUCGUCCAAGCUCUUCAGUUCCGCAACAGCGACAGGAUCGUUUCCCGUUAUGGACCUGUUCUUCAAAUAGUACUCCUUCUCCAAUCGACGCAGUCUGGCCAGAGACUCUCUCACCUGAACAAAGCAUUCGUAAAAUUGCUUUCGAAGCAAGAUGCUUCAACGCAGAAAUAAGCAGAGAGGUGUGGUCCCUACCCACGCGGGCCCACAAGACGUACCAUCAUUUUAGUAUAAGAUAAAAUAUAAAAUUUUCUAUUCAUAGUACAUACUGAUGUUAGUAAUAUUUUUAAGUUAUCCUCCAUUGUCACAUCGGAGUGAUGUUUAGACAGGUGUCAAGACGGCUGUACAAACAUUAUUUGCAAGAUAUUAUGCUACACGUAUAUAGUACAUACCUAUAACAAAUUAAGAAUUUAGUAUUAAAACAAAGACGGACGUUACAAUCGUAUUUCUUUAUUGCUUAGAUGGGGGGACGAGCUCACAGCCCACCUGGUGUUAAGUGGUUACUGGAGCCAAUAGACACCUACGAUGUAAAUGCGCCAGCCACCUUGAGAUUUAAGUUCUAAGGUCUCAAAUAUAGUUACAACGGCUGCCCCACCCUUCAAGCCGAAACGCAUUAGUGCUUCACGGCAGAAAAAGGCAGGGUGGUGGUACCUACCCGCGCGGACUCACAAGAGGUCCCACCACCAGUGAAAAAACAAUGUCUCACAGACAUUUCGAUUUACCCUUGGUCAAUAUUUUUACAACGAUAAUAUAUUUUAUUAUGUAAAUUUACAAAUAUUUUAUUUCAUCAUCAAUAGAAAGCUCAUCUUAAAAUCUACCCUCAGACAUAAUAUUGAACGCAGUUCCAUAGUGAGUCUUUAUAUAUUUAUAAUAACGCAUUUUCUAAAUCAUCAUGUACACUAAAAAACUUCACAUUGUAAUAAUAUCGAUGGACUAUGUACAAUGAACUUACUGAAUCUGUGCCUAACGUCGAAUUUCUUUUGGCUAAAUAACACGAGUAUUUGUAGUUUAUACAAAUUAAAUUUAAAUAUCCGGAUUUAAAACGCAAGAUAAUUUUGAAAGACUGAUAACAUAAAAAAUAUUCUGAGUUCUUGUCAAUACAAAAACAUUCUGUACCAAAAUCGUGAUAACUUAUCUUCAGUGAUAAAUUACUUUUAUUUUGCUAAAAGUAAAUACACGCAUGUACCAUUCAAUUUCAGACACAUUUACAAGGUCUUCGGUAGUAUAGUGGUCAGUAUCCCCGCCUGUCACGCGGGAGACCGGGGUUCGAUUCCCCGCCGGAGAGAACUUUUUUAGUAAUUUAAAAAUAGUUUUCAAGUCCUUUUUAACCUACUAAUUUUAUUCGUACUGAAUCGAGAUUUAUUCUAAAGACAAUAAUUUAAAAUUAUUAUCGCAUAAAAACUAAUCAAGAUAUAGAUUUCUAUUGUAAAGAAAUAAUACAUUUUAUUUUAGUAGGGUGUGAAACAAACAAAUCAGUUGGAAGAGGACUAUGCCAGAAAACACAUCGAACUAAGGAACAUUCUACAAUUUAAGUAAAUAUUCUUGUUAAAUUUAGGUAUUUUACGUAAUCUAUAUAUUAAUGCGUGAAGCAAAAACUUUGUGCCCCUUUUUACGAACAUUGCGCGGACGGAGGAGUAUGAAAUUAAAUAGAAAAGGAGGGCAGAAAGCUUUUUUUUUUAUUAUUCCUAAAAAGUUCAUUAAAUCAAUUAAAAAAUAUGACACACACUACCAUUUUUUUUUUAAUGCAUGAACGGGUGGACGAUUACACAGCCCACCUGGUGUUACGUGGUUACCAGAGCCCAUAGACAUUUACAACGUAAACGUCGCCACCCACCUUAAGAUAUGGGUUCUAGGGUCUCAGUAUAAUAACAACCCGCCCUUCAAACCGAAACGCAUUACUCGCAUACAUUUAUGUACUCUUUUGUUUAUUGUUAAGCCUCUUGUCAAAUUAAGAACAGAUUAAUAGUGUUUGUCUUAUUAUAUUUAUCUAUAGUGCAGCCUUGCCGAAAUCUGUUACUAUAGAAGUGUAUGAUAGACUUUGACAAUAGAUCCUUAAUAAUGUUUAAACUUAUAAUUUAAAUUAAUUUUGGUCGAAUUUCGACCGCUGGGCGACCACUAGUGUUAUCAAUGUUCUAUAUAUGUUUUAUUAUUAUGGUACGUAUAAAACAGUAACAUGUAAUGAUCUAUGAACGCCAUUUGUAAAUUUAUUUAGGGUUUUUAAUAGAAUGUAAGAAAAUAAAACAAGAACAAAUUCUAGACAAGCAGUUGAUAAUUUUGCGACGGAGGACAGAGUCUUCGGUAGUAUAGUGGUCAGUAUCCCCGCCUGUCACGCGGGAGACCGGGGUUCGAUUCCCCGCCGGAGAGAACUUUUUGCCACUUUUUCUCGUGUUUAAUGUGUCAAGGCCCUUAUCUUAUUUUCAUAAAAUCGUUCUUCAUAUAUCUGAACCUUACUUCACAAAUUACAAAUCCAAUUUUCCAUUUCCUUUUUUUAUUUCACAUAUUUUGUUAGAAAUACUCGCAUCAUUGUUUCCCGAAGAGCAUUGGAUAAAGUGUUGUGGGAACUUCAAAUUUUAAAAUUUUCCUUCAAUUUCAUUAUUGUAUUAUGUUAAAAUAUUAAAAAUAAUUUUUUUAGA